rnacentral:sRNA from 1 species
GUAGAUGCUCAUUCGCCCCCUUAUGUUUGCGUAAGCUUCAUAAAACUGAGAAUGAUGCAGAGCCGACUUGUGGUGCCUAUGGUCCGAAUCAUGCUGUCUUUGAUCAGCACGCCGCGGACACGUCGUUGAGUGAGGCACCGAUCAGUUGUCUUAAGAUCUGAUUGUCCUUUUUCAACACUUGCCUGCUGGCAGGUGUUUUUUU